GGGGAAUCUUCCGCAAUGGGCGAAAGCCUGACGGAGCAAUACCGCGUGAGGGAGGAAGGCUCUUGGGUUGUAAACCUCUUUUCUCAAGGAAGAACACAAUGGACGGGUACUUGAGGGAAUAAGCCAUCGGCUAACUCCGUGCCAGCCAGCCCGCGGUAAUACAGGAGGAUGCAAGCGUUAUCCGGAAUGAUUGGGCGUAAAGCGUCCGCAGGUGGCUCUAUAAGUCAGCUUGUUAAAGAGUGAGGCUCAACUUGAUAAAGGCAGUGGAAACUACAUAACUUGAGUACGUUCGGGGCAGAGGGAAUUCCUGGUGUAGCGGUGAAAUGCGUAGAGAUCAGGAAGAACACCGGUGGCGAAAGCGCUCUGCUAGGCCGUAACUGACACUGAGG
rnacentral:rRNA from 1 species